rnacentral:rRNA from 1 species
UAGAUACCCUGGUAGUCCACGCUGUAAACGAUGUCGAUUUGGAGUUUGGGGGCAUGACCCUUGGGCUCCGGAGCUAACGCGUUAAAUCGACCGCCUGGGGAGUACGGCCGCAAGGUUAAAACUCAAAUGAAUUGACGGGGGCCCGCACAAGCGGUGGAGCAUGUGGUUUAAUUCGAUGCAACGCGAAGAACCUUACCUGGUCUUGACAUCCAUAGAAUCUUUCAGAGAUGAGAGAGUGCCUUCGGGAGCUAUGAGACAGGUGCUGCAUGGCUGUCGUCAGCUCGUGUUGUGAAAUGUUGGGUUAAGUCCCGCAACGAGCGCAACCCCUAUCCUUUGUUGCCAGCACGUAAUGGUGGGAACUCAAAGGAGACUGCCGUUGAUAAAGCGGAGGAAGGUGGGGACGACGUCAAGUCAUCAUGGCCCUUACGACCAGGGCUACACACGUGCUACAAUGGCGUAUACAAAGGGAUGCGAAGGUGCGAACUGGAGCGGACCUCACAAAGUACGUCUAAGUCCGGAUUGGAGUCUGCAACUCGACUCCAUGAAGUCGGAAUCGCUAGUAAUCGUGAAUCAGAAUGUCACGGUGAAUACGUUCCCGGGCCUUGUACACACCGCCCGUCACACCAUGGGAGUGGGUUGCACCAGAAGUAGAUAGCUUAACCUUCGGGAGGGCGUUUACCACGGUGUGGUUCAUGACUGGGGUGAAGUCGUAACAAGGUAACCA